rnacentral:rRNA from 1 species
GACGAACGCUGGCGGCGUGCCUAAUACAUGCAAGUAGAACGCACAGGAUGCACCGUAGUUUACUACACCGUAUUCUGUGAGUUGCGAACGGGUGAGUAACGCGUAGGUAACCUGCCUGGUAGCGGGGGAUAACUAUUGGAAACGAUAGCUAAUACCGCAUAAGAACAUUUACUGCAUGGUAGAUGUUUAAAAGGUGCAAAAGCAUCACUACCAGAUGGACCUGCGUUGUAUUAGCUAGUUGGUGAGGUAACGGCUCACCAAGGCAACGAUACAUAGCCGACCUGAGAGGGUGAUCGGCCACACUGGGACUGAGACACGGCCCAGACUCCUACGGGAGGCAGCAGUAGGGAAUCUUCGGCAAUGGGGGGAACCCUGACCGAGCAACGCCGCGUGAGUGAAGAAGGUUUUCGGAUCGUAAAGCUCUGUUGUUAAGGAAGAACGUGUGUGAGAGUGGAAAGUUCA